rnacentral:rRNA from 1 species
UACAGGGGGUGCAAACGUUGCUCGGAAUCAUUGGGCGUAAAGCGCACGUAGGCGGUUCGUUAUGUCGGAUGUGAAAGCCCUUGGCUUAACCGAGGAAGUGCAUCCGAAACUGGCGAGCUAGAGUACUAAAGAGGAUCGCGGAAUUCCCGGUGUAGAGGUGAAAUUCGUAGAUAUCGGGAGGAACACCGGUGGCGAAGGCGGCGAUCUGGGCCGGUCCUGACACUGAGGCGCGAAGGCGUGGGGAGCGAACGGG